GUGUGUGUGUCUGUUUCUGUUACAAACGUUUUCUGUUUGUCGUCGAAAAGCCAUUAAAAUAUUUAUCCAUUAAAUAUUAGCGAGUGCAGCAGUGCAUCGAAUUUAAAUUGUGCGUUAAAUUAUUUGGCUAUUUACAGUCCUCGGGAGCAAAAGCGCGCGCGCGCCUUCUUAACAGUGUGCGUGCGAGUGUAUUGUUGUUCUUUUUACCUGUUGCGCCUUUUUUUGGCCAGCAACAAAACAAGUCAAAAAGGAAAAAAAAGAGUGAGCAAAGCUGCAUAGAAAAUCUAACAGAGAAGAGCGCUACAACAAAAGCGACAGAGAGUGAGAGAGAAAAGUUUUUGGAAAAAAAAGUGCAAAAGCUCAAAUUGCUUCUGCAAGUUCAAGUGUUUUUUGUGUUUUGAUAAAAGUGUCAACAAUCUGAAGAAUUAAAUUAAGUUCUCACAUCAAAAACGUAAUUGUUAUAUCAAUAAAGCAAACAGCUACAAUUUCCAGUUAGUGAAUAAUACUUACAAAACAAAACAAAACAAGAGAAAGCAAAUCAAAAAAAGAUACUACGAAUAGGAAGCCAUCCUAGCCAGCCAGCAUUCGGCACAGGCAUAUCAAUGUCGUACAAAAGAAAAUAUUUUGCUGCAACAUCUAUAUAGCACUUCCAUUCCGAGUGAGGAGGAUAAGCGGAUAAGCAACAGCAGUCGGCUGCCUGGGCGAGGGGUGUAGCAAACAAUCCAAAGAUAACCAAAAA